rnacentral:rRNA from 1 species
GAUGAACGCUGGCGGCGUGCCUAACACAUGCAAGUCGAACGAAGCACUUUAACUUGAUUCUUCGGAUGAAGGUUAUUGUGACUGAGUGGCGGACGGGUGAGUAACGCGUGGGUAACCUGCCUCAUACAGGGGGAUAACAGUUAGAAAUGACUGCUAAUACCGCAUAAGACCACAGGGUCGCAUGACCCGGCGGGAAAAACUCCGGUGGUAUGAGAUGGACCCGCGUCUGAUUAGGUAGUUGGUGGGGUAACGGCCUACCAAGCCGACGAUCAGAAGCCGACCGGAGAGGGUGACCGGCCAAGUGGGGACACAGACACGGCGCAAACCACGACGGGAGGCAGCAGUGGGGAAUAGUGCACAAGGGGGGAAACCCUGAUGCAGCGACGCCGCGUGAGCGAAGAAGUAGUUCGGUAUGUAAAGCUCUAUCAGCAGGGAAGAAAAUGACGGUACCUAACUAAGAAGCACCGGCUAAAUACGUGCCAGCAGCCGCCGUAA